rnacentral:rRNA from 1 species
UACGGAGGGUGCGAGCGUUGUCCGGAAUCACUGGGCGUAAAGGGCGCGUAGGUGGCUUGGUAAGCGUGUGGUGAAAGCUCGGGGCUCAACCCCGAGUCGGCCAUGCGAACUGCCGAGCUUGAGCACUGUAGAGGCAGACGGAAUUCCGGGUGUAGCGGUGGAAUGCGUAGAGAUCCGGAAGAAUACCAGUGGCGAAGGCGGUCUGCUGGGCAGUUGCUGACACUGAGGCGCGACAGCGUGGGGAGCAAACAGG